rnacentral:lncRNA from 1 species
UAUUCUAUUCGAAUUGUUCCCAGUCCUCGGUCACUACAGUAGAAGGCAGUCUAAGAGGUUGGGCGUUCAGGCUUCCAACCCCAGAUGCAGGUCCAGGAGGUGGGGCGUAUAGGAUUCCAACCCCAGAAACAGGUCCAGGAGGUGGGACAUAUAGGUUUCCAAUACCAGACGCAGGUCCAGUAGGUGGGGGAUAUAGGCUUCCAACCCCAGAAGCAGGUCCAGAAGGAGGAUUCGGGCUUCCAACCCGAGACACUGGUCCAGGAGGUGGGAUGUUCGGGCUUCCAACCAUAGACGCAGGUCCAGGAGGUGGGGGAUAUAGGCUUCCAACCCCAGAAGCAGGUCCAGGAGGAGCAUUCAGGCUUCCAACCCCAGACACUGGUCCAGGAGAUGGGACGUUCGGGCUUCCAACCGUAGACGUAGGUCCAGGAGGUGGGGGAUAUAGACUUCCAACCCCAGAAGCAGGUUCAGGAGGAGGGGGAUAUAGGUUUCCAACCCCAGACACUGGUCCAAGAGGUGGGGGAUAUAGGCUUCCAACCCCAGAAGCAGGUCCACGAGGAGGGGGAUAUAGGUUUCCAACCCCAGACACUGGUCUAGGAGGUGGGACAUUUGGGCUUCCAACCCUAGACGCAGGUCCAGGAGGUGGGACAUUUGGGCUUCCAACCCUAGACGCAGGUCCAGGAGGUGGGACAUUUGGGCUUCCAACCCUAGACGCAGGUCCAGGAGGUGGGACAUUUGGGCUUCCAACCCUAGACGCAGGUCCAGGAGGUGGGGCAUUUGGGCUUCCAACCCCAGAUGCAGGUGUAGAAGGUGGGGGGUUCAAACUUGCAACCCCAGACGUAGUUACAGGAGGUGGGGCAUUCAAGCUUCCAACGCCAGAUGCAGGUCUAGGAGGUGGGGCGUCCAG